rnacentral:pre_miRNA from 1 species
GAUUUCAAAUGAAAAAGUCAUCAACAACAAAGUUGUAUAACUCAUCAAGAUAUAUAACUUUUAUUUUGGUCAUUUCUUCAUCCGACAAAGUGAUUUUUAAGAUUGUUUACAAAAUGUACAUAUCCUUAUAUAGUUUUACAAACUAUAAGAGAGAUAUGUAAAUUUUGUGAAAAUGUUAUUAUCACUUUGUUGAAUGAAGAAAUGACAAAAAUAAAAGUUAUAGAUCUUGAUAAGUUAUACAACUUUGUUGUUAAUGACUUUUUCAGCUGAAAUC